rnacentral:rRNA from 1 species
UACAGAGGUCUCAAGCGUUGUUCGGAUUCAUUGGGCGUAAAGGGUGCGUAGGCGGCCAACUAAGUCGGACGUGAAAUCCCUCGGCUUAACCGGGGAACUGCGUCCGAUACUGGAUGGCUUGAGUUUGGGAGAGGGAUGCGGAAUUCCAGGUGUAGCGGUGAAAUGCGUAGAUAUCUGGAGGAACACCGGUGGCGAAGGCGGCAUCCUGGACCGGCAUUGACGCUGAGGAGCGAAAGCCAGGGGAGCAAACGGG